AACGCGAAGAACCUUACCAGGGCUUGACAUCCUCUGUAAACUACGGAAACGUAGUCCCCAUAGCAAUAUGGCAGGGAGACAGGUGCUGCAUGGCUGUCGUCAGCUCGUGUCGUGAGAUGUUGGGUUAAGUCCCGCAACGAGCGCAACCCUCGUCGAGUGUUGCCAUCAUUAAGUUGGGCACUCACUCGAGACCGCCGUUGAUAAGACGGAGGAAGGUGGGGAUGACGUCAAGUCAGCAUGGCCCUUACGUCCUGGGCUACACACGUGCUACAAUGGCCGAUACAACGGGCUGCUAAACCGCGAGGUUGAGCGAAUCCCACAAAAUCGGUCUCAGUUCGGAUUGCAGGCUGCAACUCGCCUGCAUGAAGUCGGAAUCGCUAGUAACUGCAGAUCAGCUACGCUGCGGUGAAUACGUUCCCGGGCCUUGUACACACCGUACGUC
rnacentral:rRNA from 1 species